rnacentral:lncRNA from 1 species
AAAAAAAAAAAAAAAUUGUAUAGUUAAAUGCCUUUAUUUAAAAGAGGAUUUUUAAGUCAUUUGACUUUAAAAUUCUAAAGAGGAGGACAUAUGGAACAAAUAUCUUUGUACUUCCUUAGGCACAACAAAUAUGACAUGAUCCCUUUUAUUAUUUUUGUAUCCCUGUGGAAAUGUUCAACACCAGAACUAUGAUUCAAUUUAAGAGCCUUUAACCUUAUUUCAUGUGAUUCUCUGCUGUUUGUCAUUAAGACACUUCCGAUUAAAGGUUUAUUGACUCAGUGGAUACUCUCUAUUAUAUAUUACUUUUUUAAAAGAGCAAAGCUAACUCAUUAGUUAGAAACCAGCAAAGCAUGCAAGUGCUUUGUUCAACUGACAAAAAGAGAGAGAACCAGUGGAAAUUUACUGCUGGAAAGUAUUAUCACCAAAAGAUAUUCACCGAGCUGACAAUUUUUGACCUUUCCCAUGUUCCUUCUGAAAAUAUUUGUGUUAGAAUCAGACCUUUCAACAUACCAAAUCGCAUCUGAUUGAUUUCCCUGUGAUUUUUCAAACUCUGGAAACUGAAGUACAAGUAAAAUGGGCAAAGUUUCUCUGAAUCUUCACCACAGACCCAUAGCCACACGAAGGAUCUGACUCUUUCUUUAACCCUGACCCCACCACCAACACUAUUAAGACUGUACUUAAGUAAUAAAACUUGUGUAACUCGUGAUUCUGAAGCCCUGAAGAAGUAGAGGCAAACAAUCAAGGGAUGUGACUAAUAUCACUAACAAUGCUAACAAAAAUAGGCUUCAUCUCUGACUGGAGGGGAAUGGCUGGGUCUUCUCUCUUUCCAAGGCAGGUUAACUCAAAUCCCUACUCCAACCAUGCAUUCUCUGUGGAGCCCCCAACCUUCCCUUGCUGCAGGAGCCUUGCUGUCUGCCAUCUAAAGACCUAACAUGAUGCCAUCCCUGGACGGCUCCUGCUUCCACAGCAUCUACCCUAGAUUUCUUCUCAAGACUUAUUAUUGCUGUUUCUGGGACUCAACUUGCCACCCCAUUAUCCUUCCUUCCAUCAAAAUGUCACUGCCCUCAAUGAGUGGGAAAAAUUCCCUUCUAUGCUCCCAGAUAGGGUGUCCUGUUUUGGAGUAUGGAUUUGCCCUUUUGAACCACAGGACCUUGCCAAGCAGACUAUCUGAAGGCUUAUAUGUAUUUGUUCCUCUGACAGGGGAUACUGCAGGACAUCCCUUCGGAACAAAGGACCCACUUUACAGCAGCUGCAGGCCUGAUAGAGCAACGGAGCAGCCUUGGGGAGGCACUGCUGAGGCACCACCUUGGAGAUGAUGCUCAGUGAGAAGGAUCAACAAGACUGUGACUUUCUCAAAAGCUUCCUGAGGACAGGAAGAAGCACCUUCAGAGAAGGAGCCUUAUAAUCCUGUGGAUCUGUCCAAAUGGACAAGACCAAUGUCGUCGAUUAUGAGCCCAGGAACUGGCUGUGACUGCCCCUGUGCUCCUCACUGUGCAGUUUCCCUGCCGAGGUGGAAGGCUGUGUGUGUAGCCAGCUCACCACGUCCCCUGCACAAGGAGCUUCAGCAAGACCAUCAGAAGCACAGAUUCUUCAUCUGUAUGUUACUUCUUCGGGGCUACCAUAACCAAUUACCACAUACCCAGUGACUUAUAACAAUAGAAAUUUAUUCUGUCACAGUUCCGGAAGCCAGAAGUCUAAAACGAAGGUGUUCUCAGGGUCAUGCUCUCUCUAAAGCCUCUGGGAGAGGAUCCUUCCUGGCCUCCUCUAGCUUCUGGAAAUGCCAGCAAUUCUUGGCCUUCCUUAACCUGCAGAUGCAUCACUCCCAUCUCCGCCUUCACCAUCACAUGGCCUUCUCUUCUAUGUCUCUGUCUUCACGUGAUGUUUUCUCUCUGUGUCUGUAUCCCACUACCUUCUUCUUAGAAGGACAUUUAUCCUUGGAUUAGGGUCCACCCUAAUCCAGUAUGACCUCAUCUUAACUGGAUUACACCUGCAAAGACCCUACUUCCAAAUAAGGUCACAUUCUGAGGUACCAGGUAGGCAUGAAUUUUGGGGGAACUCUACUUACCUGGAGUAACAGUACCUAUCUUAGCUGUGGUGACACAUACGUAGUACUCUGAGUGCCACAUCCUGAGCAUGAAUGUAAUGAUAGCUCUUAUUAAAAACAAACUAUACUUUGACUUCUCAUAACUUUGUCCACAGUAAUGAUUUUUCCAUCAGGAGUACAAACUCAAAGUGUCUUUUGUUGUUGUUUUUAUUUGCG